UGCCCGAACCACACCCUUGGAUGAUAUAACAAAAUUGGAUAGAUUUUUAUUAGUUUUAAAAGAAUAUCUAUUAUCUAUGCAUAAAGUGAAACCCACGAUUUGAGUAAAGCCUAAAGGGGUAUUUUAAUCCAUUGGUUGGGCCAUUGAUUCGCGAGAUACAAAGGGUAGGGUGGUGACCAUUUUUGGCGAUUUUGUGGAGAUCGCAAACAUCAAACCACGAUUUGGCGGAGAAAACUCAAAAGGAGCAAAACUAAAGAUGAUCUACCGAAAAUGGAGCCUUCUCAGCGUCCCUCCCGCUAUCCUGGGCGGUAUUGUUGUCUCUCUAGCCGUCGCUAACUUCAUCUUCGUUAAAGAAGAUCCAUUUCUGAAACCAAAGGAAAGGAAGGUGGAAGCAUCUCAAAAAUGAAAGGACAUAUUUCAAUGAAGGUUCCAAUUUUAAGUCUAGAAGCGUCCCUUGGAUUGGUGCUGUCUUCAUUAUGUUAUUUUGCUUUCUCAUGUGAAUUUGUUAUUAGCUCCAUGGUUUUGUCUUGUUUUAGUUAUGACUAGUGAUCAUCUUGAAUAACCAAAUGAGAAACGUUUCGGGGACAAUCCGAGAGUUUUUCUCGACCAUAUAAUAAGAUAUCUUACAAGUAACACAGAA